rnacentral:lncRNA from 1 species
GAUUUGCAAAGUGUCAUACAUUACACAAAUAAUUCAGUAUGCAGCCAUUUGUAAGUAUAUACAACAUAACAGUUUGCAAAAUCCAAUAUGAAAUCAUAAUUGACAACAUAGAUAGGAAAAAUGUGAAACAACAUAGAUUGGUCAAAUAUGACACAACAAUGUAAAGAGCAAGUACAUUCUAGUUUACAUUAAGAAAACUAUAACGUAUUGAGGUUAUUCAGGUUCUUCCAAAUCAGCCCUCUUGGCCCUCCCCUCCUGAUGGCAACUACCAUGCCGUAGGAGAGGGCGAUGAGUAGCAUCAAGUAUCCCGCCACCCAAACGUGCCUACCAUAUUUACAAGAACAUUAGAUAUUUAUAUAUAUAUGAAUAGAUUGUUGAAAUGAGAGAAUUACAAGAACUAUAAAAAGUAAAUUACUAGUUGUCCAAAAUUUGUAAAUCUUAUAGUGACUACAAAUGAGAAUGACAUAAUAUCUACUAUAAACAGAACAAACAUGAGGUUUCUUAGAAGUAUUCCAAAUAAAAGUGUGUCAAAUUAAUGUUUAAUAAAAUUAACCUAUACGUGACAAAGUAAUAGAACACACAUCACAGACUCCAAACACUAUAGCACAAAUAGUUGAAACUAUAUAAAUCGAUCAAGAAAAUGACAUCACUAAUAAUCAAUAUUAAAAAAUGGCGUCACUAGCAACAACAAUUGACACAUGAACAUUUGAAGUUUACAUCGGCCAAGUUGAUGACCAGCGGCAUGAAGCUCAAUUUUUAUUUUGACACGUAUAUAUGCUUAUUUUUUGGCAAUUACAAAUUGGAGAAUACUUCUACUGUGUUUUGGUUGUAUGUUGAAGACUAAUGUAACAUCUAGAGGUUCGAUAGACAUAUGACACAAACAUGCUGAAGGUUCAUAAAAACAAAAGCAACUUCCAUUCAUACUGUCCUACUAUAACAAAUUAUGAAGCACGGACACGAUGAUGCAGGGACACGAGAUACAACAAUUUUUUAAAAGAACAUCAAUACGACAAUACAACGAGUAUAUAUAAAUAACUAAUAAAAUGCCUUGCAAUAAAGAUGGAAUUAUUAAAUGUGUGAGGUGAGAACAAAAUAGUGCCAAAUUAAUUUAUUACAUGGCUUAAGCAUUAAAUGAUGAUUAUCUAGAUACAAGCACAAUCGGAACCCAUGAACACCAAGAGAUGACAAAUCUAGUAGUGUAUCGAUGCAAUGCAUGAUAUCAGGGAGAUGGUCCAAUGCAGAUUAUGUACGUCCAAUGCAGAUUAUGUAUACAUAAAAAUCCAUGCAGUUAUAUUUUACUAGAACCACACAAAGUCCACACCUUGGACAACCCAAAAUCUACAACAUGAUUAUUUCAAAUCAAGAAUAAGACAAGCAGAAGAAUGUAAGGGUAUAUCACAGCAAAUGUUUCAACUUUCCGUAUCUCUUCUCAACAUCGAGUCAUAUGGCAAAUCUAACAAGGAAGCAUACAAAUCUAGCAGUAAUUUUGUGCCAAGUAGUAUAACAUGCACCCAUGAGACACAAAAAUAUAACGAUUUAGGGUCACAACAAGAUUACCGGGGGCCGCUUCCAAUAGGUCCUGCAGGACUUGAGAUUUCUUAGCAACGUGGGGCAUUACCAUCAACACUUGGCAAGAGAAACAAAUAGCAAAGCACAUGUGAGAUAUAUUUUGCCUUCAUAACACCACAACAAUAUUAGGCUUGUCUGCUGCUUCUUCAAUAGGGUUACUACCUCCUCCUUUUGGGCGUCCUGUGCAUCAGCAGCAUCCGAGCCCUUCUUCUCCGCGGCACUUGCAGCACCAUCUUCUCCUUCUCAUUAUCCUACGAACAAACAAAAUUGUGUCCAUUUCAGUCCAAACUGUAGCUGAAACAGAGAACCAAGUACCAGAUUCAGCAAACAAAAACUGUGUCCAUUUCUGCAAAAAAUUAGGGAGUGUAUAACUAUCAAACCGUUUUUUAUUUUGAUUCAGGCUGUUUUUUCUCUUGCAACCACAAUUCAACACAUGUCUAUACUCACUAGUUAGUCCAGAUUCAAUAUGAAAAAGUCAUCUGUUUUCUUUUGUGCUUCAGGUGGAAUUUUAGCGCUAGUCUUUCUGUCCCGUCUAAUGAUUUGAGCGUCCGACCUGUCCACUUCCUUCUUCCCACUUGCCUGGAGAAAAAAAACAUUUUCAAAACAUAUUCAUCUGAAUAACAAAAAACGCUAACUAGUUGGCCUGGAGAAAAAACACCUUCUUAAAAUUGACAAGAUUCCAAAACAUGAAUACAGGGUGCUGAUAUACAAAAUCAGGAAUACAAAGCCUUAGUGGUUCAAAAUGUUAUAACCCAAACUUUUGUUUUCUGAAAGGAAGAAACUGUAGACCAACUGAAUGUAGGCACCACUAUGUUUAUUUUAGAAGAUAUGGUUUUGGUACUCAUAUGGUUCGGCAUUAAAAAGAACAAACUUCAGGAAAUGGGUGUGCUCUCUCUAAAUUUUCUUUACUGAUUAACACACAUACCCAAACUAGACUAAUGAUGGAUCAAAGACUGACCUAAUGAAACUAAAACAGAGGGAAAUCAAAACAAAAAAACAAACUGCAGCUAACUACAACAUGACUGAACAUAGGCAGAAAAAAUACAACACUGAAAAGUGACACUAAAACUAAAGCUACAAUGAUAGAAAAAAUACAUGAAUAUCGGUGACUGACGAGUGAGACUGACCAUAACCAAAUACUAAAUUAUCUGAUAAACUGAUACUAAAAACAAAAGCAAUAAUGAUAGAAAAUAUGAACUGAUAACUGAAAAAAGACAAGUUAGACCGAUGACUAAAUACUAAAGUAUGUGAUAAACUGAACAUCAAAAUCUGAAGACCCACCUCCUAAUAAAAACAAACUGAAGCUAACUACAACAUGACUGAAGAUAGGUAGAUAAAAAUACAAGACUGAAAACUGACACUCCAACUAAAGCUACAAUGAUAGAAAAAAUUACAUGAAGACUAAAUGCCCGACGAGUGAGACCGAGCAGAACUGAAUACAAAAUUAUCUCAUAAACUGAUACUAAAAACUAAAGAAACAAUGAUAGAAAAUAUAAACUGAAAAUGAAAAAUGAAAAGUUACACUGAUGACUGAAUACUAAAGUAUCUGAUAAACAUGACUAAAUACAAAUUUUUAGCAUGUUAACACUGAUCCCUCAAAGAAUCAACACUAAAAAAAUAUGAACAAGCACAGUGACUGAUCAAAUCUGAAUACGAUAACAAUGAACUGACAUAAUGACCGAGGGACUGAAAGUCUGAUAAAGAAUAACACUGAUGUAGUGAUGAGUAAAUGUACACAUCCACACACUUUUGUUGUCGAUGCUGCUGCUAGUUCAUCAAAGCACCUCACAUUUUUGCUCCAAGAUGCCAGCAACUAAGCAUCAGUCUGUACACGUCCACAAACUCGAGACUAGGCAUGUUAUCGCAUCCGAAUGGCCUGCAAUUAACACCCGGGGCCGAAGCACGCUCGGCUGAGCACAAAUUUCACAAGGCACUCCUAGGUGACCACCAGGAACACCAACUGAGUACUUCCUGAGCAACUCAGGAAUCAGAACACGAAUCCUGACUCACAAAUGUAGAAUUAACACAUUCAUCAUUCCUGUGUUAUGGCUUGAAAUUGCUUGGCCAGCCGCAGACAAACACCAAAUCUUGACCCCUACAUAGUGAAUCUAACGCUCACACACCUUACAAGAAUUGCACUAGAUCCCCUUCAGAAAUAUGGAUCGUCAGUACACACAAAUUACUGAUAAACGAGUACACCCCACAAAACACAUAUAAUGUGAAAAGGGGGAAACAUAGCUGAACGCACAACCCCAGAAAUCCGUGGGCGAAAAAUCGAACUCCACGGAUCAGAUAAUCUAAGAAUCGAGAUGAUGCUGAUAUAUCUCAUGAAAUUAGUGCAAGCACGAUUAAUCCCACACAAGCAAAAAAGGAUCUGAGUUAGCGGCCACUAGCAAAUGCACGGAAAUGAGCACUAAUUACUGACUGAGAAAUUACUCGGAUGAGAGGUGGGGGUGGGAAAACACACUCGAUACAUCCCGCCAGACCGGCGCCGACGACUGAUUCCGACCUCACCGGCGAACACCUGCUGGUGGCGGGACUAAAGGAAAAACUCCGUCGGCCUCCUCUCUGUACCACUCCCUCCUUCCUCCUGAUAAUCUAAGAGGAGAAGAGGGAAGGGGCAGACCUGGGUAGGGGUCAAAGUAGCGAAGCUCUAUGAGUGGAGUCUGUGGCGUCUCCUCACACAUAGCCAAGUAGUAUCAAUGGAAGGAGGUGGUCCUCCUAUCCCCGGACUGGCCCUCGAUUGUGGGGAAGGAGAUGAUAUCCAUGGCGGCAAAGCCCGCAACCUUGGCGAGGAGGCGGAGGUGGCUGCGGUAGUGGUGGAUCUGGUUGCUGCCAUGGCUGGUCAACUCUCCCAUCCAUCUCCAAAGGAGGGAAGCGGGAGGGGGUAGGAGGGCGGCUGUUGUGGGGGAUUUUGACGGUGAGGUGUGACGACGACAUUAGGUUGCGAAUUUGGUCGACGGCUGCUCACCCAUCGGAGGGAGCAUCGGAGUGAAUCUGAAGGAGAGGAGGCGGCGGAUGCACGUGGAUAGGGUUUUCGGUGAGAGAGGCACGAGGGUGUGGGACUGUGUGUUAUGUAUUUUCAC